rnacentral:rRNA from 1 species
ACAGCAGCCGCCGCGGGAAUACGGAGGGAGCUAGCGUUGUUCGGAAUUACUGGGCGUAAAGCGCGCGUAGGCGGUUACUCAAGUCAGAGGUGAAAGCCCGGAGCUCAACCCCGGAACUGCCUUUGAAACUAGGUGACUAGAAUCUUGGAGAGGUCAGUGGAAUUCCGAGUGUAGAGGUGAAAUUCGUAGAUAUUCGGAAGAACACCAGUGGCGAAGGCGACUGACUGGACAAGUAUUGACGCUGAGGUGCGAAAGCGUGGGGAGCAAACAGGAUUAGAUACCCCGGUAGUCCCUGUCUCUUAUAC